GAACAAAUAUUUUAAGUUGAUUAUUAUGCUCCUAGGAAUGUAUUAGAUGUUAAGAAGGUUGGCAAUAGUAUGAUUUUGUACAAGAAUACUCCCUUCUUUUGGGUUUAUUGGGCUCUCUUUACUUCAUUGACAAUAUAUUUGUAUACUUUCAACCAUUCCUGCAUUAAGCAUUUUCUAAAGAUCAGACGUUACACUUAUACUAUUGUACAACACAUCAAGAUUCAGAUCAUAACAUAAUGAACCUACACUGAUUUUAAUUGAAUAGAAAAUGAGGAAUACGAGCAUCCAUAUUGUGCAAAUUACAUGUCGCUUAAAUUUUAAUUUUAUCCAAACUGAUUCAACUUACUGGAAUCCAAUAAGACAUAGAACAAUGGCACUAACAUUUCAUUUUCUAUAUAGAAACAAUUCAACUUACUGGCACUAACCUUAGUAAAAUUAACCGAUCCAUUCAUACAAUCAGUUUCCCCACGAAGGCAAAGUAAUAAUGUGUGCAACCCAAGAGGGGACUUAACACUAUUUAUCAAACAAAGCUUAGUGGAGUCAAACUCAUCUCAUAGCUCUAGCAGCAUGCGUCAUGCACAACCAAACUGCAUCUUGCAGUCAAGUAGCUGCAGUAGCUUUUGGUUUCCCUGCUCGGACUUUAGCAUCCACGCCAGGAAAAUAUACUUAACAGGUCAACAAUUUUUGGGGUAUACAUCAUGUUCAUCCUACGCGGAUGCGGUCAUAGGUACUGCUCAUUUGUUAGACUCAAGUCUGGUCAGCAACUGCCACAUGUAUUCCAUUGUGUUCGCUGCAAAAAUAGAAAUAGCAUGAAUUCUUAAAUGGCAAAAUUGCAAGCUUUGCAUUACCUGUAAAGUCGACUAUCAAAUAGAACAAGGACCAAGUACAAAGACAGAGAUAAUGUACAGGUUCAGCUUCUCAAUCGAAUUCACUCCAUACAGAGAGAUGUGCUCCUGUAGCUAACAUUCAUUCUACAUAAGGCCCCAUUUAGUAUAUCUGAUCAAAUGGCCAGAGCUAAUAAACUCGACACCUACUCAAAUUCUGCUCCACCACCUACUCAAAUUCCACUCCACCUGCUCCCAUUUAUUCCUCUCCUCUGUCCAUAAUUACAAUCUUCUCUCUUAUGUUCCUGACAUGAACAAUAUACUACAUACAUAUUUGGUGUAUCAUAAAAAUGGACUACAUCUGCUUGUAGUCUCACAUGUUUCAUUUUUUUUUACAAUAUGCCGAUGCAGCCCUACACGAUAAAUUGCAUUCUUGUACUAUUUCUCUAUCCCCAACUUCUAACUCAUCUUUGUUGUGUUCAGAUAAAUGAUUUCAUGACGACAUCCUAAUCUAGAGUACAUAUUUUGCUGUAAUACGUAAAGCUGAUAAGAAUAGAGAUUACCCUGAAACCAAUUGAUGUUUGACCUAAACUGAAGCAAAAUCUUGAAAAAAGAAAUCAAGCAUCAACAACACAGUAGUAGUUGAUCAAGAAUUCUAUUGACAAAUAAAGUGUUCAUUGUACCCUUAUGUACAAGGUUUUACCUGAUUGGUAGGUAUUUUAGAUGUCCCAAUCUGACUGAGGGGUGGAUUUCGGUCACUUAAGCUUUGUGCAAUAUCUCCUCACCAGCGUGAAACAACAGUCACCACCUGCACGGAAUAGGAAUGGAAAGAUAUUAACAUGGGUGGAAGAAGGGAUAGUACAGAAAAGGGGCAAAACAAAGACAGAGGCCGACCUAGCCGAGAACUGUGCUGCCAGGGUAAGACAGUGAUUCAGUAGAAAAGGAGUAAGGACGGUCAUUGAGAGGGACAAGCGAGGGAGCUUAUAUUAUACUCCCUCCGUUCCUAAGUCUUUGGAGAAAUUUCACUAUGGGCCAUAUACGGAGCAAAAUGAGUGAAUCUAUACUCUAAAAUGCAUCUAGAUACAUCUGUAUGUGGUCUAUAGUGAAAUCUCUACAAAGACUUAUAUUUAGGAAUGAAGGGAGUACAUUACAACACAGGUUGGAAAAUAGAAAGACACCCACCUUCACUAAUCGCCGUCAACGACGGGCAUACAUCAUCCACCAUGAACGACUCUAGAAACUGAAGACUAAUUGCCUUUCUUCAAAUCCCAAAG
rnacentral:lncRNA from 1 species